UACGGAGGGUGCGAGCGUUGUCCGGAAUCACUGGGCGUAAAGGGCGCGUAGGCGGCCGAGCAAGGUCGCGGUGAAAGCCCGGGGCUCAACCCCGGGUCGGCCGUGGCAACUACUCGGCUCGAGCUCUGUAGGGGCGGGUGGAAUUCCGGGUGUAGCGGUGGAAUGCGUAGAGAUCCGGAAGAACACCGGUGGCGAAGGCGGCCCGCUGGGCAGGAAGAGAGGGGCAACCCUCUCGGCUGACGCUGAGGCGCGACAGCGUGGGGAGCAAACAGG
rnacentral:rRNA from 1 species